rnacentral:rRNA from 1 species
UUAUGCAUGCAAGUCGAGCGAAGCUUUUCAGUAGUUUACUACAGAAAAUGACUGAGCGGCGAACGGGUGAGUAACGCGUGAGCAACCUACCUUAGUUACUGGGAUAGCCCGAGGAAACUCGGAUUAAUACCGGAUAUUCUUAUUUAAUCACAUGAUUUUUUAAGGAAAGGUCAGCCGAACUAAGAUGGGCUCGCGUUCUAUCAGCUAGUUGGUAGGGUAACGGCCUACCAAGGCUACGACGGAUAGCUGGUCUGAGAGGACGAUCAGCCACACUGGGACUGAGACACGGCCCAGACUCCUACGGGAGGCUGCAGCAGGGAAUAUUGUGCAAUGAACGAAAGUUUGACACAGCGACACCGCGUGUGGGAUGACGGAUCUAGGUUUGUAAACCACUUUCAGGAGGGAAGAAAAUGACGGUACCUCCACAAGAAGCCCCGGCCAA